rnacentral:tRNA from 1 species
GCUCCUAUAGUUCAGUUGGUUAGAGCGCCAUUCUUAUAAAAUGGAAGUCACUGGUUCAAAUCCAGUUGGGAGCA